CGGGGGACAACAGUUCGAAAGGACUGCUAAUACCGCAUACGUCACCGACCUCUGCGGAGGACGGUGGGAAAGCUAGGGAUCUUCGGACCUGGCACUGAUGGAGGGGCCCGCGUCGCAUCAGCUUGUUGGUGGGGUAAUGGCCUACCAAGGCAAAGACGCGUAGAUGGUCUGAGAGGAUGAUCAGCCACACUGGGACUGAGACACGGCCCAG
rnacentral:rRNA from 1 species